GUCGUAUCGGAUUACUACGGUUACAGUGCAGAGUGCAGACUGACGUGCGGCAACACGGUAAGCAGAUGUAGUCUACAGACAUUACAGGGGUAAAAAAUUUGCGUACCGGCUGUAAACUUCUCUUCGUGUCUUCCCGGUAGCGAUUUUCUCUUAUAUCGCCUUCCCAGCACGGCGUACCGCUGAGUACAGGCUUACUUUCACCCCUGGACCUGGGUCAUGUGAAGUGAAGUCAGUAAACAACAACACAUGGUGGUGUUGAGUUUUGAAUAUUAAUUCUUAUUAAACCUAAAUGAACUGAGGGUUGGUACAGUUCAGUUUAACAGCUCACAGACCUGCAGGAGCAUCAUGGUGGAUUUCAACCCUCCAGAUUUUCAUUAAAGACAUGUUUGAUGAAUGACUUUAUUUUGAUAUCCAGUAAAAGACUAAAGUAUAGGUGGAUUACAAAUGACUCUUACUGUGUUUCAGUAGUUACACAAAAAAAGAGAUUAAAUUCUACAUAACUUCAGUCCACAGUCUAAUCUGAUGACCGCGCAAAAAUCAGAUAUUAUAAAGCUGGAAACGGUUUUAAUUUAGUUUUUAAAGAUUAACAAUUUACCCUGAUAGGUAGCGCCAAAAUAUUUAACAGGUCUAUAUCUACUUUAUAACCGACGUUCUUACCAAUUACCAGGUUGUGUAAAGUAUUUGAUUCUGAUAGGUCAAAUCCCCAAAACAACAGUGAUUGAAUCUCUACUGCUUCAGAAACAACCAAAUCACACAUGCUCUAUCAUAGCCAUGUGAAGGACAUGUGUGGCACAUUUCCCCUCUACCUGUUGGCACUGAGGCGGAAAUGUUUGGUUUUGUAAGAAUAUUUAAAUCGGUAAACAUUGUGGCAAAAUGACGAGAGGGACUGGGAAUACUUCUAGUGUCCACGCACCUGAACAUUUCUGAUAUGGAAAAAGAGGAGCAAGAUCCUGUCUCUGCAAUUACAGGCAGCUGCAGCACAGCUGGUGAGUGCAUCUCUGAUAGGUAGAUGGCUGCAUAAAGUAACCGAAACCGUACCUGGUAGAGAUAGUAUUGAAAAUCUAGAAAGUUUUGACAUUUGUAUCAUUUAUGUUUAAAGAUAUGUCAACUACGGAGGAAUCCUUUUGGUCCGUCUUUAAGAAAAAAACACUCGCAAUGGUGCUACGAUGAAAAUUUGUAUGACAGAGCUACUCAUCCAAGGAGAAGAAAAAUGGUUGUAUUCAUUUCUUUUUUUAAUAAGUAUAUAUGAUUCCACCUUAAGUUAGAAAAACUGAAUUUUAAAGUCCCCUUUCUGGCUUUUUUUUUUAUUUAUCUCUGAACCACAAGUCAUACUCUCUACCAGCAGAUGCAGUUUGCCUCUUUCAUACAGAUGUUUACAUUUUAUCCACCGACUUAGUUUCAAAGCUGAUUAGUAUGCGCUUUUUUCCCAGCGAGUCAGUCCCUGAAUACUUAGUGAUGGAUGCAACCUGGUCAUGCAAGUGAAAAUCAGCGUUAAGGCUGAAUGUGAGUGAAUGGCACAGCAACAAGCAGCCCACAUUGUGAAAGUGAUAUUACAAUGUGGUCUCUGUUAAUUAAGGCAACGAUGACAUUUGAAGCUGAGCGUGAAUUUGAUUAAAUGCAGAAAAUCAGCCCAUCCAUAUACAGUAUGACAUUUCAAGAUUUCCAUCCCAUUUCCCUCUCCUGCUCUGUUGAGCAUUAGAAAGCACAAGAGGCAUAUUUCACAGCUCCUCUCCUCUGGUGUCUAGUUUAGUUUAUGAUGAAGGAGAGUGGAAAGGAAUGAACACAUGACCUCACAUCCGAGUAUUUCCAGGCUGUCGUAGGAAUUUAUAAAAUUAAAUUACACAUUUUUAAUUGUAUUGUUCUGAAAUUCUCUCUCUCUCCACAUACGGUCAUUCCUCAGCUGAUCGGGGCUUUGCUAUGAGGGAAACCUAAUUAGUCUUCCUCCAAGCUACAUCAUAAUAGCCAGUGAAUGGCUAGCCUUGUCCUGACCUGUAAAAACAUAUCAAAAUGCACACAGAGUCCCUCUAUCAACCUAUUUGCGUGUGAAUACGUUGUUAAGCCUGUGUUGCCGCACAGACACUUCUUCUCAUCAUCUCCUUUCCCCAGUUUUCUAUGGGUGUGCUUAUUAGAAGAAAAACACGGUAUAAUAACACAAAAGCUGCCCUGAAUAAUUCGCUCUAAUUGGCAAAAAGGGGUGGGAACGGCCUCAGCAGAUAGACUGGCAAGAGUGUGGCCACCCAUCCAUCCACUUUUUAUUUUAUUUUGUAUGUUUGAGGUCAAAUGCACCCGCAUGCAUGUUUAAUUGGCUUUGAGAUGGCUUGGUGUUUCUGCUCUGAGUCAGAGCCACUUGCUUUUUCUAGAGCGUGCCUUUUCACUAUGUCUCAGCAAUAGAGUACUAUUUUAGGAACAAAUUAGGGGCCCAGAAAACAGUGACAUUUAGACAAUCGCUGCUGUGGCUGUGGCUGAUAGGGGAAGAGGACCAGGCGCUACUAUAUAGAGGGUUACUGUAGUGUGCUUUUAUGGAGAGACUGAAUAGUGGGAUGGACUCAUUGUUGAGGAGGCCCAGUGGUUUAGGCGAAUAGUUCCAGCGGUUUCUUAUAUAAAUUCAUAUAAAAAAAGUAUGAUACAGAAAAAGGCAAGAAAAUCAAAGCAAUAACUCUCCUUUUUUUAAUUUAUGUUUGACUUUCACCAGCUUAAAAAAGUGACUGGAUCGUCCCAAAUGUGCAAAUAACUUCCCAAUGAGCAUUACUCCAAGAAGUCUUUGACCAAUAGCUGCUCUUACAUGGGCACAAAUAAUCAGAAUAAAUGCCCGAUCGGAAUAAAAAUGCGUCAUGUAAACAUGUCAAUCAGAAGAUUCUGAUCCAAUUCAGCUCAAUCGGAAAGAAACUGUAUUCUGAUCGAGGGGGGUGGUUUAUGCCGAUCAUUAUUUCAAAACGCGUCCAUCUAAACACUUAUUCCGAUCGUGACUCUCGUACCUGACUUUAUUGAGGCAGUACAGGAGGUUUCAUUAUUAACGCUCUGGCAUAAAACACAACCGCAGCUGCUGUGACCACUCCUCUGAUAACAUAACAGGGCGUACGUACAGCGUAAUGAUGUCACAUUUGCAUGCACAGAGCAACCUUUGACAGAACAGUAAAAUAAGUACGCAAGGGCGCCAUCUAGUGACAACAUUUAACAGGGGGAAAACUCUUGAAUUGGAGGGAGUGAGCCACUCCUGCGUUUAUUGUUUUUUUUGAUACAACUCUUCUUCUGCAGUUGUGUUAGCGGAAUCAGACAAAUGUCCAAAUGCUUCUAAUUUCAUAUAAACAGUGGAUUCAGAUUAUCCGAUCCCUCAAAUUUUUAAUCGGAUCACGAAAUUUUGCACAUGUAAACAUGGCUACUGUUUUAGGGAUGUUGAAAAAUGGGCGAGGAAUGAAAGGUUUUCUGAAGGCGUCAACUGUCAAUGUUGAGAGACUGGUAUCCCGUACGAUGGUGCUUUUCUUGCGCAAUUUUCAUCAGUUUUUUGCACACAUCGAUAGUGAUUUUCCACGUCACUUCUUGUAUACAUUUUCACUAAAAUAUUGCAUCACAGUGCAUCAAACUAAAUUCUUAAGAAAAAGCAGCAGGGUGAAAAAUUGCAACUCCCCACACAAUAGCUAGAUGCCUGUCAGCCUAGCUUAAGAGCUCCUGCUGUUUGUGGUUUCAAUCAACUCUGUCAGCGAGUCUGUGUAGUCAGAGCAGCACAGUCAACUGCUCCCUUUAAAAUUCCUCUUGACCUUUUGUUAUCAUCACAGCCUGUGAAGCUUUAAAAAAAUACAACAUGUGGAAAUCACAUCUUUUGCUUAGACAGGAAUCAAAUUUCUUCUGGAAAACUACUUUGAAGAAAAACCAUCACAAUUAUCUUUUCACUUUUAAAUGGCCGUAAAUCAAAAUUUGAGGUGUUUUCAGACAUGUCAAUGUUGCAAAGCCUUUUGAAUACCGGUUGAAAUUAGGUGUUGGACUUUCAGACCUGAUUUCAACAUUUUUUCAGCUUAAUUUAAUCUACUAGAGAGACAGAACAUCAACAGGAUGUUUCUUUUUUAUUACAUUAUUUACUGAGUAUCGUAGAAUAAUGAUUCUGAAUUUGACAUCAAACUUCUUCUGGAAAAUUACUUUGAAGAAAAAUCAUCACAAUUAUCUUUUCCAAUCACUUUUAAAUGUCCCUAAAUCCAAAUCUGAAUAAUGAUUCUGAAUUUGACAUCAAACUUCGUGUCACCGUUGAUUUUGGGGGACCUUAUUUGACCAUAUUUCCCCGGCGUGAUGCACUCCUAAGAGGCCAACGAAAAAAGUCUCAAUACCAAGUAUAAUAAAUGUUGAAAAAGUUCCAAAUGCUUUGUAUCAGUACAAUAAAACACUUCACUUGACACCCUAAAAAAAUAUCAUGGUCACAGAAGGGUUGCAGAGAUUUUUCAGUCCAAUUGAAAUGCUAAAGUUGAUGAAUGUAUUAAAAUGUCAGCGGCUGUCAUCGACCAUUACUCUGCAAUGAUUGAAAAACUGUUUCUAUAGUCUGCUGAGGCACUGUAUGAAAUAUUAUAAUUUUAAUUCAGAAGGUCAGUGUCAAGUUCUUCAGAAAUACUUUCAUAGAAUUUAAUAUUUGAUUUCUUUACACCCAUGCUGACUUUAAAAUGUGGUCACCUUAACAUUUUGUGUGAUCACUCUUUGUUUUCAGUAUUCUGGCAACAAAAUAUAAGCAAUGAAAUGAGUAGUUAUUGAUCUAUUAGUCUUACUUUUAGGCUAACCAGUGUAAACUCAAGUUAGGAUCAAAGGAAGCCAAUGAACUUUUCCCUUCACAGUUUCAUCAUCACUCCGAGAUGUGAAAUGGAUUUAGUGUUUCAGCUUGCUCUGGCUUAUUCACCUUCCUCUUGAUCUCCAAAACCAGUCAGAAAUGAAAUUAAAAAUAAUAUCUGUAAUUUUUAUGAGCUCCAAAUCUGUGAUGAGGAUUGUAUUUGACAACAUAAAUGUUAGGUUUUGUUGAAAGAUAAUUCAAUAGAGCUGUAGUGGACAGAGAAGUAGCCCUAGUUUUUAAAAAUGAAAGCAUAAUUGGACAUGCUGUUCCCAGACUAAUAAUUAUGUAAGGCUAUUUGUCUUGUUUGCCUUGGAAGUGAUGGGGAGGGGGAACAUGUUUCAUUCUGUUUCAUAGUGUGGAGAGUGAGGAGAAGCAUGUACAAGCACGACACCUUAUGCGCAGGAAUUUUUCUCACCUCACUUUUCACAAUUUUUAAAGUGUAAAUCUUCAGACCUUGAGAUUAUUCUUUCUGUUUAACGUGUCUGCUCUCUCUAACGUGUGCGUUUACACACUUAACUAUUGUUUUUCUAUUUGUUUGCUGCUAUUGUUGUUGAAGCCAUUCAUCAACAUAUAAAAAUAAGGUUCUUUGGAGAUACUUCGAUCUCACAUUGUAUUUUUCUUACCUAAUCAGUUCUUUCCGUCUGUGUCUGUAAGCACUUUGUACGUCUCACAAAAGGUAACAGUUUUUUUUCUCUCUUCAUAAUGUAUCUGCGUCCUCUUUUCAAAUCACUUAUGCAAGAAGAAUGCGCUCAUAUAACAGAGACAGGAAAAGAAGCAGACGUGUGUGUUGUCUGUAUCUUGUCGCCUGUUAAACUCCGCAUGCACAGACGAGAACACUGUUAACAAACCCAGUGACCCCUCCCCUCAUAAGACUACGUUUACACGUGCCCAGCUAUUUUCAUAAA